rnacentral:rRNA from 1 species
UACGUAGGCAGCAAGCGUUGUUCGGAGUUACUGGGCGUAAAGGGUGUGUAGGCGGUCUUCUAAGUUUGGUGUGAAAUCUCCCGGCUCAACUGGGAGGGUGCGCCGAAAACUGGGAGGCUAGAGUGCGGGAUGGGAGAGUGGAAUUCCUGGUGUAGCGGUGAAAUGCGUAGAUAUCAGGAAGAACACCAAUGGCGAAGGCAGCUCUCUGGGACGGUACCGACGCUGAGACGCGAAAGCGUGGGGAGCGAACAGG